GAUGAACGCUGGCGGCGUGCCUAAUACAUGCAAGUAGAACGCUGAAGGAAGGAGCUUGCUCUUUCCGGAUGAGUUGCGAACGGGUGAGUAACGCGUAGGUAACCUGCCUGGUAGCGGGGGAUAACUAUUGGAAACGAUAGCUAAUACCGCAUAACAGUAGAUGUUGCAUGAUAUCUACUUAAAAGGUGCAAUUGCACCACUACCAGAUGGACCUGCGUUGUAUUAGCUAGUUGGUGAGGUAACGGCUCACCAAGGCGACAAUACAUAGCCGACCUGAGAGGGUGAUCGGCCACACUGGGACUGAGACACGGCCCAGACUCCUACGGGAGGCAGCAGUAGGGAAUCUUCGGCAAUGGACGGAAGUCUGACCGAGCAACGCCGCGUGAGUGAAGAAGGUUUUCGGAUCGUAAAGCUUUGUUGUAAGAGAAGAACGAGUGUGAGAGUGGAAAGUUCACACUGUGACGGUAUCUUACCAGAAAGAGACGGCUAACUACGUG
rnacentral:rRNA from 1 species